UCCGAUGUGGUGUAGUGGCUAUCAUACUGCGCUUUCACAGUCUAUGACUAGAAGUACCGCAGGGAUCGGGGUUCGAUUCCCCGCAUCGGAG